rnacentral:pre_miRNA from 1 species
UAUAAGGGAUUUUGAGUUUUUGCUUGUAACGUUUGACCACUUGUCUUAUUCAAAAUUUUUUGAAAUUAUUAUUUAUUUUAUUUGUGACUUACUUUAUUAUCUACAAUACUUUAAGCACAACUUUUCGUUUUUUAUAUUUGCAAAAAAAAAAAUUAAAUAAGACGAGUGGUUAAACGUUACAAUCAAAAACUCA